CCCUCCGGGAGGAACCCGGGAGCCAGGAGCUCCCGAAGCGGGGCGCUAUGCCCAGCUCCCCAGGGUCGCGGCUCGGGUGAAGUUCCCACCGCAGCACGCAGCUAGAGGUGUCACACUCCCGGGAGGGGCGGGGACCAAGAGGCCGGGACCCAGCGGCCGGGCAGAGCGCUCUCUCUCCGCUUUCCCGCCGGCCCCCUCCAGCCUCCUCCGCGGUUGACGCUGGCCCGGACUUUUCCGGGCUCGGCCGGUGAGCUGAAGGAUGGAGGAGGCGUAAGAGGAGGAGGAAAGAAAGAUUCCCCGUUUCCUGCCUUUUUCUGUCAAAUGGGAUUUGCCGGACUGAACCACGUUUGGCGCCCCUCCCUCUCUCCUCCCUCCUCCUGGACGCGUCGGGUCCGGAAAAGCACCGAGGCUCCCAUGCUGUGACCAAUCAGUGCAUCUACUACUCUUGCCGUGAUUUAGGGGUCAUCCAUGAAUAACACUUCAGGCUGAUGAAUGGCUCUUGCUGGCUUUCGGCUCUGAUGAGGGGUCUGCCCGCCGCUGAUUGCAAACACUAAUGAACUUACAGCGCCAUUUGAAAUUCACACGCACCAACAAAGUGCGGGGGUGGGCAUUUCAGGUCGGCUGAGUCACCCGAGGAGGUGGGAGUGCAAGACACUGCCGGGAAGAUGGAUUCGGAGGCAGACGGGUGUAAUUAAGGACUGCCACCCCCGGCGGGCGGCCCGCUCUUCACGAGCCUCGGAAAAUGACCUGUGCCUUCCCUUCCCGAAUGUCUUCUCUUCCGAAACUGAAAAGCGCAAAUGACCUUCGGACGGGAGAGGGCUGCACUAAACACUCAGACUCUGGUAGGAGCCGCAGCUCUACGUUGUUGACCAAGUGUCCGCCCCCCGGGUUCCAGUGCCUGGACCUCCAAGGAACAGGACCUGGCCAGGGCGCAGUCUGGAGUCCUCCGAUGCCUCAGACCCCCAUCCGUAUUCACACGUAUUCUUAACAAUCUCUCCCUUCCGUCUCUCCUCUCUCCCACCCUCUCUCCCUCCUCUCGCCCUCCUUUUCCUCUUCCUAGAAGGUUAAGCAGCCGAACACUGGCCCGACUCAAGUUUGUUUGUUAUGGGAAAGGUGAAAAAGUUUACUGCUCUCUGCUACACACUGCCACUUGCUACUCGCUCAAGUUCCCACCAAAACUCUAGCUCCCACAUCCCCAGUUCCUCUGCCCAGGCCCCUAGGGGGCAGAAAGCCCCCCCCCCCCGCAGAGCUUCCUAAAUCUGCCCAAAGUUAUCGCCAUUUGGAAUUUUGGAACCUGAAACCCUUCCUGGAGCGGAUCUCCAGUUCCCCGGCCCCUUCCCUUCCACCUACUGGCACCUUUUGCUGUGCGGCGGCCGGCCUGGAGCGAGCGCCUGCGGAGGACGGGUGCUCGAGGUUCCCCGUGGGGCGCCCCAGCGUUACCGUCCCUCCUCAGGGACACUCUGCCAGCCGGCCGCUAGCUGAGAGUCAGUGUCUCGGCCUGCUCCGGGCCGCUGCCAACCUGUCCCGACGGCGCUUGGAGCCCACCUCAUCUUCCCCCCGCAGCUUCGGAGCGGGGAUAACGACCUAUACCUGACGUGACCGGAAGGAAGGAGAUGUGUACUUUCACCUGCCUCUGAAGGCAGAGCAAGAUCAGAUCUAGCCCUCUCUAAUGCAAAGGGCAACGCCUCCUAGGAAAGCCUGAAUCUUUAAGUUCGAGUUUCUCCAAAGUUUGUGGCGGAUCUCAUUUGUAAACUCCAAUUAGAGUGCCCAGACUUGGUCUUGAGUUCCCGAAGUUGCUAAGUGACAGAGCGCGCCAGGACGUGUGAGAGUCUCUGUAAUAAGGGAACCCCUCCCGGCUCCUGGGGCUCUAGUGACACACCACAAGGGCAUCUUUCCGGGAAUAUCAACAUUUGCCCUAGGGUGCAUCAGUCUCUUUCCUGCCACGUGAAUUUCAUGCUUAGAAAGGGGGUGGGGAGUGGUUCUGUUGCACCGUAUCUCCCUUUCCUGCUAGCCAUUCUCAUUAUCCUGAGAAAUUAGUCAACUAUGAUGAUAUGCCCCGGAUAUUUCCUGGUGAGCACUCAAACUGCUCAAAUUUGCACACCUGUAUAACUCUAAGGACACUGAAGGUAUUUCAUAAAUCAGGUUUUUGGCCCAGUUCCCACAAAAACAUUGUGUUUGAAACUUUUGUAACUGUCCAGGUAAGACUCCUCCUUGCUCUUUUGUACCUUGCUAUCUAGGAAUACUCAAUAAAAAGAAAACACACUGUGCUCUAUGCCCAAAGAAGCCAGAGCAGAGCGCUACAUUAGGGAAAUGGGGAGAGGUUUAAGCUCUUUUUUUUCUAGAACCCUCAUUAUAGCUAACGCUAGCAAUAAACGAAGGAAACAACUCACAAAGCUUAGAAAAGGUAAUAAAUCUUGGAACCUGUCUCUAGACUACUUCCCUACUAAAUGAUUUUCAAAGUUUUAAGUUUGUGGGGCUGAACGUUCACUCAAAGUGGAUGCAAUAUAUAGAAAAAAGAAAAACCCUCUAGAAUUCAUGGCUGUAGUCCUGUGCAUUUAACGUCCAGAAUGGCAGGUGGACAAAGCCCGCCCAUGACCUCCUGUAUCCGUAAGGCGCAGCCUGCGGUAAUUCAGGCGUUGAGUGUAUUGUGUGUUAAACUUGAGGGGCGGGGGUACGAGCAAGAUCGUCGCUGGAGGCCGUGAGGAAAAGCUGACAUGCAUUGCCAAGUGUACCAACUCUCUUCCUCCUCCAAAUGCAUCCCUGGAAAGCAGAGAGGCGUCACGCUAUGUGACCAGGAGGUACUUUGCCUCGCUGAACUAUUGUUAUGGGAGGGAGAGGAGGGCGGGUAGCUCUUCGCAGCGUUAAACACUGGAAUAGGAGAAAAAUGCAAGACAUCGCUAUCUGUCUUGCAGACCUCUGGCUGCUGCUCACAGCGAACUCUUCCCACAUGGCUGGUGACUUUGCCGUAGUGUUCACGCAGCCCAGCCCCUAGUGCACGGGGUUAAUGGGGCCGGGCCGAGCUGACCUCAUCCUUGUCUCUGAACAGAGAAUAUGACAGCUCCCAGCACAGCCCGUGUCCAUAACCCUAGCAAUGUAUGCUUUGGGAGGAAGACUGGGCCAGAUCUCAGAAUGCUUUGGGGUUAGGAAGAAUGCACCUAUGUCUUCAGAGCUGGGAGAGGGUGGGAAAGAGCCAGACUCCUGCUGUUGCUGAUGUCUGUUUCGGGGCCAAACCUGAGCCAGCAGUCAUCCCCUACUUGAAGGUGUCGCUUCCCAAUUGUAGUCAGCAUCACCUGAACCUUCUCUGGAGUUGGAGGAGCUGUUUUCUCCUCUUACCCUAAAGAUCCAGCCUAGAGCUGGAAAGGCUGGGUGGCAACUAUUCCAGCCUCCUUCCUUUGGGGAGCAGACUGUCUCUGAGGCACUUCCUCCUUUGACAAGGGAGGCUUUCAGCCAUGUGGAUGGGGAGCAUGGGAUCAGGCAGGUACCAGGCUCUCCUGGGAGGCUUGUGGACAUAACUGGACUUUACAGGUGUUCCUUGGGCUUAUUACAAGGCUCUAGCAAACUGAGCCAUGAAUGGGCUGACUUCUGGACUCACCACUCAAGAGACCCUAAAUGCUAAUGAGCAACUGGAAGAAAUAAGGAGACCCAAAGCUUCAGGGUCCUCAACCUACCAGCUCAGCCCUUGGGAAAAUCAGGAAAGCCAUAAUCCAAAUAUGUCCAAGUGGAGGUUAUGUCUCAUGUGAGAACAACAAACAGGAAAUGGACCACUUGAACCAGACUAAAAGCUAGUAAUCUGUGAGCAAACGCUGAAUUCUAAGCACCCAGAGUAUUCCUGUUAAACAAAUCACUUUGCAUACAGCAAACAAUUAUUCUGGAACAAUUUAUAGUACUAGAACUUACAUUUCACACUUGUCUCUAAGGUAGCCGUAAAGUUAUUAUCAGGUUGUUGUUUUUCACUCACAGAAAUGACUUGCUUCCCUUGGCAGUUAGAUUGAAUGAAACUGUAAAACAAAAACUUAGGAUUUCCUCACUGACAAAGUCAUAAAAUUAAAUGACUGUAGUGGAAAGUAUGCUUUCAUUGCCUUAAUUAAAGCAAGCUAGUCAGUCCUCUCUCAAUGUACAUCCAUUUUGGAGUCAUGGAGUGGACUGGCGAUCAGACAAAUCAACCUUUAAAUGGGGCCAGGUUUUUCCAGUACAUUAGUUUGUGUUCCAGUGCAUAAACCAAGCUUGGAUGUGGCUCUGACCUUUGGUGGAAAUGAAGUUGUGGAGCAUAACCCAACUGCUGACGUGGUUUUGCUAGAGCAUCCUGAGAGACCCCAAGUUCUGUGAAGGAUUUUGAACACAGAGAUGUCUUUUAACAUGCAGUCCAUCCAAAUUUGGCUUUGCUCCAUGUACCUUUUUAAAAUUUGCCAUAUGAUUCCACCCUGAAAGUGGGAACUUUUAUAAUGAGUAGUUAUCAGAGAGUGCUUAUAAAAAUCUAUCAGUUAUUGUAAAUGACUUGGUAGUAAGUAAUAUCUCUAUAGUGUAUGUGAGGUAGACACCAGUUGCUGGCAAAGUUUAUCAUAUGUUAGUAAUAUGGAAAGACAAUUUUGUCAAUAAAACAUUUAGAUAUUUCAGAGGUCAGCUUAUAAAUUAACUUAAUAUGUAAAUAUGGUUUAAAUUAACCAUAUAAAUGCCUGUCAAAUAUGACAGCAUGUGAGUAUAAUUCAGUACCAGACAAAUUGAAUGACUUUUCAUUUCCCAUAUAUGCUGCACCCUUUAUCCUCCUUUUGCUGAUGCCUUGGUCUAUAGUAUUCCGCACCCUAGAUCCCCGAAACACAUAGAUUUUAAAGCAUCUAUUAGUAAUGUCUCCUGCUUAGGUAUGCCAUUUUAUUUUCUGUGUGUAAUAAGGAUGACUGUGUGGUAUUUAGAGGCCCUUCCCAAUAGUUGAGAGCUCCUGCAGUUUAGGGAUUUCAUCUUAUUUUUGUUUGAACCCACAGGCUC